rnacentral:tRNA from 1 species
AUUCAAAUAGUUUAUUAAAACAUUUUAUUUUCAUUAAAAAGAUGAUUAAUUUAAUCUCUGAAUU